rnacentral:rRNA from 1 species
GGAUAACAGUUAGAAAUGACUGCUAAUACCGCAUAAGACCACAGCACCGCAUGGUGCAGGGGUAAAAACUCCGGUGGUGUGAGAUGGACCCGCGUCUGAUUAGCUAGUUGGUAAGGUAACGGCUUACCAAGGCGACGAUCAGUAGCCGACCUGAGAGGGUGACCGGCCACAUUGGGACUGAGACACGGCCCAAACUCCUACGGGGGGCAGCAGUGGGGAAUAUUGCACAAUGGGGGAAACCCUGAUGCAGCAACGCCGCGUGAAGGAAGACGGUUUUCGGAUUGUAAACUUCUAUCAAUAGGGAAGAAAGAAAUGACGGUACCUAAAUAAGAAGCCCCGGCUAACUAC